AACGUAGGUGGCAAGCGUUAUCCGGAUUUACUGGGCGUAAAGCGUGUGCAGGCGGGGGUACAAGUGGUGUACGAAAUUUCCCAGCUUAACUGGGAAGGGUUAUGCCAGACUGUACUUCUGGAGUGCGAGAGAGGGGCGUGGAAUUCCGGGUGUAGUGGUGAAAUGCGUAGAGAUCCGGAGGAACCCCAGAGGCGAAGGCGGCCAUCUGGACCAUUUCUGACGCUGAGGCGCGAAAGCGUGGGGAGCAAACAGG
rnacentral:rRNA from 1 species